GCAAGAUGGCAUAUUGUUUGACAAUAUCUUGAUUGCUAGUGAUGAAGAAGUUGCAGAAUCAUACAGGAAGACUGCCUGGAAACCCAAGUUUGAUGUAGAAAAGGAGAAACAGAAAGCUGAGGAAGAAGCAGAAUCUGGUGGCCUCAAAGGAUACCAGAAAUUAGUAUUUGACCUCCUCUACAAGGUAGCUGGUAUCCCAUUCUUGGGUGAACACAAGACCAAAGUAUUGGAUCUUCUCGAGAAAGCUGAGAAACAGCCCAAUAUCACAGUUGGUGUCGUUGUCUCAAUUGUAGUGGUUGUCUUCUCAGUUCUAUUGAAGCUCAUUUUCGGUGGGAAGAAGCAGCAACCUGCUAGAGCUAGUGCCGAGACUGAGAAAACUGACGGAGCUGAAACCUCGACUUCCAAUAGUCAAGCCGCUGAGGAGAAGGAAGAGCAGAGUGAGGAUGCUGGUGCUGCUCCUCGUCGAAGGACUAGGCGCGACAAUUAGGAUGGGGAAAGGUUCUAGUGACCGCAGUCGGACUUAUUUUAGAUUUUUGAUCUAGUAGUUGUUCCUGUUGUUUUGAUAUCUUUUUCCUCUUUUCUCAAAUUCUUGAUGAUCAAGGCAAGCAAGUUUUUCCAGCGAUGUUGCUUCCCCUCAAAACAAGCAUGUAUCACAGUAUUGUAUAUGAGACAAUUUUUAUCUGGAUGUUAUCCUCUUUUAUAUCAUAGAUUUUUAAAGAAG
rnacentral:misc_RNA from 1 species